rnacentral:lncRNA from 1 species
UGGGGUACCGACAAAAUAAAAUAAAAUAAAAUAAAAUCUCUUCAUCCAAACAUAAUACUAUCAGACUUUUUUUAAAAAUAUUUUAACGCUUCGUUUGGGAUUGCGGAAAGAUUGCGUUACGUGCGGUGAGAAAGUACGUUGGAAAAAUAUUCUGUUUAUUUCCGUACGUAAUAUUGCGUUCCGCAUAUCGCGAUAAGUCAGUUACAAUAUAUUUUGUGCGGUCCCAUCGGAGAACGCAGAAGCAUAUUCCUAUAUAUUUUUUUCACAACUCAAAUUUAUCUGAUAGUGUUAGAUAGAUCUCAAUACCAAACAAAACCUAAUUCAAGUGAGAGGGGAU